AGCCCUUCAUUUUCCUCCCUCCAUCAUCUUGUGUGUCUCCAAUUUGUUCUCAUUUUCCUUUUCUCACCCUCUUCCUCCAUCCAUUCAGAUCUUCGCCAUAUCUUUCUUCGUCUUCGGCUUAUAGAUCAUGGUUCCUCACCAGAUCUCUGGAGGGAGAUCUCGUUUCGAUCUCUUAGCCUGCGUCUGGCGAGCGCUACUCUUCUUUUAGGGAAACCUUGCACGAUCUUCGGUUCUCUUGGUGACUGCAGUCGGAUCAUGCAAGGGAUUCAUGUUGUGUUGCGUGAAGAAGAAACCUAGAAAACCUAAUCUUUUUUGUCCGCGACUGUUUAACUCUUGGUGAUGAUGUCUCGUCGAGAUCCCUCACCAGUGCAUCAGCAGGCACUUGUGUUCAUCUCACGGGUAGUCGUGCAUGGAGUGGAUCUGUGCUCCUUGUUUCUUGAUAUUACUUCUUCUCCUUGUUCUUGGUCAUUUUAGGGUGUUUCCUCCAUUUGAUCCACGCCCUGAAGGGGCCACAGCCAAGAUGCGUGGAUCGAUCCAAGCAGUUGGUCUUUGUGGGUGUGGCACCAUCAAGAUUCACAUGGAUUCGGCCGCCGUUGUACAUGAGAAUCUUGAUGAUGCUGCAUCGACAAACACAUGACUAAUCCCUCGAGAUGUACCAUCAGAUCUUGAGGUGAUCGAUCGCUUCCGUAAGUGUUCCUGGUUUUCUCUCUUCUUCUGUUCGAAUAAUCUAUGAUAUAUUGGAUGUGAGCUGAAGUUGCAGGGAGUAGAUUUUUCAUCUCACACAGUGGACCGGUGAGUUGGUAUGUAUCUAUCUACCUUUGUUCUUCGUGGACGGUUGCCCUCUUUCAUCCUUUUUAUUUCAGUGGAGAUUCGAAAGUAUAAGGGUUGAGAUCUAUAGCUCUCUCAAAAAGGUAUAAUAACAUUUCCUUGUUAAUAUAUAGGAGAAAUUGAAAUUGUUGAUGGGAUAUAUUGUAGUUGUAAUCAUAUGUUCAGCUUUAUCAUUUGAACAAAGAAAACAAUUAUAUAUAUAGUUUCUUGUGAUCAUCCACCAUCAAGGGUUUUAUUGACAGGAUUAGGGUUACCAUCAUCGACUAUGAACUCAGAGCAAGCAUGAUAUCGAUCAAAUUUCUUUUAGAUCGACUGGCAUCUCCUUCCUAAAUUCAUCAGUAGGUGGUGAUGAAGUCUGUUACACUAAUUUUUUUUGCAUGGUUCUUUUCAUAUUCUCCUUCCAUUCUCUCCUAUUUUAGCUGUCAAUAAAAGAUGAAAGAAGACUCCUCAUCUUUUUUUGAUUGGGAAUGUAUCAGCAGAAGUUUCUUCAUCAAAGAAAAAACCUGACAGUGAGUAUCUCAUGAGUGAAUCAAAUAUUAAAUUGAAUCUCUAGCCUCGGAUUGUAAUCGACAAGUCAAGUUCAUGCAAGAACUAUGGUACGGUUCAUCAAAUGAGCAUGCUGCUAGCCUAUGUAGCAUAGAGAUAUUAGGAUCCAUCCUCACUGUGCUACAUGCAAGAUUGUGUAGGAAAGAUCAGCUGGUAAACUGAUCUUACAAACAUGGCAAAAGAAAAUGUUUAGAUCUGGCUGGUCUCAUACUCUUAACCAUCUUUUAGUAGGUAACUUAACGUGUGUAAUCGAAAAGAUUUGGCAAUUGCUUAAUGCAGUUGUAUUCAUCAAAGAUUAUAUAUCUAAGAUUGUGGCGUAGCAAUAAGAUCGGUUACAUAUUGCAUUGCCUCAGUGAUUAUUGCUAAGUUCCUAGCAAAAUAACUAGACUUGAGAAUUGAUCGACAUUAACAUGGUUUUCUUUGGUUCUUAUCUUGAUGCAGAAAUUUUGCUGCAUGUACUGAAGAUAAAGUCAGGUCUUGUCCGAGGGAGGGCCUCAGAUUCCUUCCUGAUGAUUAUUCCCACCAUUCUCUUCUCUCUUCACUUUUAUUGUAUGUUGUCUUCUCUUUUAACACAGGUUUGCAGUAAAUGUUUCUGCUUCGGUUUCUUUUCAAGAGGUUUUGCAGCAGAAGGGGUAACAAAAGACCUCUGAAGCUGCAAACAUAUGAUCCGUGAGAAGGAUACCGAGGGAAAUUCUUAUUUAAGGGGACAAAUAGAUCACAGAACUCAAAAGAAGCAUGAGGAAUGAGCAAGGAUUCACCAUGACCAUUGAAUGAAGGUGGUCAAAUGUGGGCCCCUCGCAAGGGGACAUCCUCCGAGUCCAGUUAUAAUGUGGCAUGGACCAACGUUGAAGGACAUUCUCGCCCAUAAUUGUCUGGAAAACGUACCUUGUAUCUUUUCUCUUCUGUGAACACAAACAAUCAUGCACGCUUUGGGGGUGGGUGGGGAUUCACCUGGACAAUAAUUCUAGUGUACAAAGCCUACACAAUUGGAGGUAGUAUUUGAUAUGCGGACACCGUAUGUUAGACACACAAAAGAGUGAUAGAAGAAUAAGCAUGCAUGUACUUGAUUAUUCAAUGUAACGGUGUUUUGCUAGUACAAUUAA